GUUUACAUUCAGAUAGAAACAUAAACUUACAUAUAGUAAAUGUUAUUUUUAUACGACCGCAAAAAUUAAAAAAUUUUUGGUCGUAUAUUGGUAUGACGUUGGCGUCGUCAUCGUCGUCGUCCGGCGUCGUCCGAAGACACAUUGGUUUUCGCACUCUAACUUUAGUUUAAGUGAAUGGAUCUACAUGAAAUUUUACCAUAAGGUUCAAUACCACAAAAGGAAGGUUGGGAUUGAUUUAGGGGGUUAUGGUACCAACAGUAAAGGAAUUAGGGGCCAAAACUAAGCAUUUUUGUAACUUCCAGACAUAACUUGUGUGUUAGUGUAUGGAUCUCUCUGACAUUGUACCACAAGGUUCCAUAUCACAAAAGGAAUGCUGGGAUUGAUUUUGGGGGUAAUUGCCUCAAAAUUUUAGGAAUUAGGGGCCAAAAAAGGGGCAAAAAACAAGCAUUUUUCUAGUUUCAUGACAAUAACUUGUGUGUAAGUGUAUGGAUCUUUCUGAAAUUGUACUACAAGGUUCCAUAUCACAAAGGGAAAGCUGGAAUUGAGUUUGGGGGUAAUUGCCGAAACGUUUAGGAAUUGGGGGCCAAAAAGGGGCCAAAAAUAAGCAUUUUUCUAGUUUCCAGACAAUAACUUGUGUUCAAGUGUAUGGAUCUCUCUGAAAUUGUACUGCAAGGUACCAUACCACAAAGGGAAGAGGGGGAUUGAUGAUGGGGGUAAUUGCCUCAAUAUUUUAGGAAUUAGGGGCCAAAAAGGGGCAAAAAACAAGCAUUUUUCUUGUUUCAGGACAAUAACUUGUGUGUAAGUGUAUGGAUCUUUCUGAAAUUGUACUACAAGGUUCCAUAUCACAAAGGGAAAGCUGGGUUUGAGUAUGGGGGUAAUUGUCCUAAACGUUUAGGAAUUUGGGGCCAAAAAGGGGCCAAAAAACACAUUUUUCUAGUUUCCAGACAAUAACUUGUGUUCAAGUGUAUGGAUCUCUCUGAAAUUGUACUGCAAGGUACCAUACCACAAAGGGAAGGCUGGGAUUGAGUUUGGGGGUGAUGAAUCAUAAGGGGGUUCAAAAAAUUUGUGGGGGGAUUUUUUUUUUUUUCCUUUUUUUUCUUUUUUCCUUUUUUUUUUCUUUUAAAAUUUUCCAUUUUAAGUUGGUUAUUUCUGAUUUAUAUUUAAAAGCAAAUAAUAAUGAUAUGGUAGGAGAUACACACCAAACAGGAUGUGUAAAUUAUUAUAUAAUAAGCAUUGUGCAAUAGCAAGAAAUUUUCAAUUGCACAGUAUUGCACAAUAGCAAGAAAUCUUCAAUUGCACAGUAUUGGGCAAUAGCAAGAAAUCUUCAAUUG